GGUUGCCAAUUAUACCAUUCAAAAGCUGUAUCUUUUAAAGUUACUAACAACCAUCUCAAUCAAAUGUCUUCAGUUCUACCAUUAUUAGCCUCACAAGCUGUCAAGAAUUGAGAUAUAUGGUGAUCAAAAUCAGAGUCCGGCCAACCACUAAAAGUUGGUAAUGGUGCCAUACUUGUAGUUCAGUCUCCUAUUGCUCCUAUUUGUACUACAAUUGGUACUUCUGGCACUUCCGCGGCCAUUGGUGUUAUCACUGGUCUCCUUACUAUUUGAAUCUGAAUUUUUCUUCUUUUGAUUUUUCUUGGACCUGCAAUUUCUUUUUGUCAUUCUCGUAGGAUAUUUCUUAUGCAUAAAUGCUCUUAUCUU
rnacentral:lncRNA from 1 species